CCUUGAGGACCCUCUUGAAAUUGGAGAUUUAUUGAUUUGAGUAAUUGACUGAUGAAAUAAGCUAAGCGCACGUGUUCUAUUCUUACCUGGAUAACCUGAUCGGCCCAAUUUUGGGGCAUGCACACACCAUAUAUGGGCUUGGCUGACAAAUUAAUACAUAUUAAAAUAUAACGGUCCGCUUGUUUUUGAAGAAUUUCCUUAGGUCUGUUCUGUACGUCGAAUUUUGGUCGCGUCGAAUGCAAUUAAAACAAUAGAUGAGAUGAUAAACCUCAUUAAGCUUCAUU